rnacentral:sRNA from 1 species
CUGCUUCAGUGGGUGUUGGAGCCUGAGAUUCUGGCUUUCUAACAAGCUCCCAGGUAAGUGCUUAUGCUGCUGCUUUGAGGGCCACACACCUUGAGGAUUAGGAAGAGUACUCAUACUGGAAGAGUAUUCAGCAUGGACUGGAAUCCUGCAUAUAUAUCUGAGCUCUGUGUUCUGUAGAGACGGGGUUUCACCACGUUGCCCAGGCUGGUCUCAAACUCCUGAGCUCAGGCAAUCUGCCCGCCUCGGCCUCCCAAAGUGCUAGGAUUACAGGUUUCUCUUAUUGCCUGGAUCCAACAGCAUCUCCUGGGUUCUUCGUGUUAGAAUACUGAAUGUCCAUGGAGAGUUUAUGAUGAGGAAGAAGAGGGCUGUCUCCUAGCUGAAACUGGUGCAGCAGGUCAUGCAAAGUAAAACCUCAGCAGCUGUGAUGAAGUAGAGCCGAGGGCCUGGGUGUCUGUCAACUCCAAGUGGAAGAUUUCCCCAGCUUUCUAGGUAACUGUGCUUCCACUGAGCAAGUCGGACACAGACUUGAAUGUCAUCACAAUUUGUGCCUGUGACAUCUUUCCCCAAGAACAGCACAAAUUGAACUUUUAUGUUCUUCAUAAUAUGGAAGGAAAGGUAUUGACUCAGCCACUUCUUUAUGCCUCAAGACAUCUCAUAUAUAUUUAUAUGGAUACAUACAUGAAUGUAUAUAUUCUGUCAUAAUGACGUAUUCUAUUUUUUUAUUAUAGCACAGUGUUAGGAUAGGCUACAUACGCUGCGUUAAACCCUCAAAUAGAAGU